rnacentral:misc_RNA from 1 species
AAAAAAAAAAGAAUAGGAUCAAAGGGAAAAAAAAGAGUUGAACAAUGUUCGCGGAAAAAUGAUACAUGCACCCUAACUGUCACUGGUUUCACCAUCUCUUCACAGCAUCUUAAUGAGGUUUCAACAAUGGAAAGAAAAAGUAUCACAUGACUGAUUUACAUGCUUCAUUCCAUAUCAUCCGCUCACACCAUUGUAGCAGAAAGAACUAUAAGCUCGAAAGAGGCUCACAACAUAUGAAGCAGUUAGGAGGACCUUCUGCACAGAAAUCAAUAGAUUUGCCCAAUUGCAUUAUAGGAAGUAAUCGGGUGUUCUUCGGGUUACAUCUGGCUCCCCUCUCCUGGGAGCUGGUUCAAACUGAAUGAAU